UCCCAUUGAAGGAACUUUUACAUGUCUUUCCUGCUGUCUUAGUUCCAGAGCCUGUAGAGAGGAGCCCACUGGGACUGGCUGAGGGAGAAGAGGAAAGUCUGUUCCAGAAGGAACUGCCUGAGGGAU